UAACAAUUGUGACCAAAACCUGAAGUCCCAAUUCCUAUUUAAUAUUAAGACUUUGAAAAAAAAAUGAGGUGCAUGAAAGCAAGAAGAUUUUUUUUGAUCCUUCCAGGUAUACUUAUAAACAAUGAUUCUAUUAUUUGAGUAAUUUAAUCAAGUUUAAAAGUGGUACUAGCACCAGGAGAAUAUUAAGACAAUACCUAUGAAGUCUUUGAAGAUAAAUAUAGCUGCAGAAUUUCCUUUUCACAGUUGUCUCUCAUCUGUUUCAUUUUACUGCCCUAGCCACAAGAGGAUUUUGCCAUUUUGGAGUGAUUCUUCACAAUGUCCAGACAGAUACUCUUUUAUAAUCCCUACUGCUGGAUCCCCAGUUUUGGGCUGAACGAAGCACAGAGCACAUCUCUGAUCAUGGACAAAGCUCACGUAGAUGAUGAAUGCACCUCAUCCUGUGUCCACAUCAGCUGCCCACAACUCCUGCUGCCUGCGUCCACAUUUCCCUCACUGCAGGGAGCUUGUGCGUUUACUGUGGUCAUGAAGGUACUUCAAAGGCAAACACAGGCAACUCUUGAAAUGUGGAUGAUGAACACACGCUGGACAGAAAAAAACAACAAUUCCUGCAGAGGGGCAUAGCAUCAUUGACUUGUUUUCAGCUGUUCCUGACUGCUGGUGAUUUCUGCCUCUCCUAACCUUUAAGAAGCCUAAAGCAGAGAAGCAAUUCUCCUGUUUACUCAAGCUAUAGUGGCUUCCCCCCCUCUUCUUGAAAAGUGGGAAUUAUCUCAGAGUGACAACCUUUUGCAUUAUUGUAAAAACUUGUCUUGUGCAAAGGCAUGUGUGUUGAGCGAUCAGACAGGGCACGAGGACGUGUUUGGAGCACCUCCAGCACUCAAACAAUCCUAUUUUGCUUUUAUCAUACCACACAGCGAUUAUCAGCCUUGAAGCCACUGCUUCCCUUGGGAGUGAUAUCCCAGGAGACAUUCUUCAAGGAUUGUCAUAAAAACACCAUCCUUCAGCCCCACUAGAGUGUGACAAAAUGCAGUUAUGUUAGUUUGUUAGUUUUUUUUUUUUUAUUUUCCUUUUGUUUUAUUUGUCUCUCUCUAAUACAUUAAUUUUCCAAAGCUGCUAUAAUGAAAGCUUUAAAGAGAAGGCCAAAUAUGUGGAAGGAAAAGUAGUCAAAAUGUUUGAUUUAAAAAAAAAAAGGAAAAUGCAAAAUAUUCAUGAAAAAUGGAAAACAUCUCUAUUUUGUUCAAUAUUUUCACUCGGUUCAUUCCUAAAGGCUCAUCUUCAGCCAUUUUUAAUUCUGUUGGGUUGGGGGGGCAGAAGUCUAUAUUUGUUAUUUUGAUCUUCUCUUUUUUUUUUUUUAAUUAAAAAUGAGAAAUAAUAGGAUUCUGCUCCUCCCUUAUAUUUGCAUUGUGACUUCUAAAUUAAAAGAACUGUAUUAGAAAACAACGGCUUUUCAGCAGUGCACCCUGUUCAUACUGCAAACCUUACAUAACCAGCCAUGACAAAGGGUAGCAAUUAUACAAUGAAAAAUUAGGUAGCCUAUAUACGGUUCCUUACCUGGGGCACAUCAAGAAAAUAUAAAGCAUAAAGGUCUUGCACAAAGCUCCUUGCAAAAGCCAGACUCAAGCAUGAAAGGCCAUAGUUAGAAGAGAGAUGUAGCCUAAAGUAUAGUAACAGGUCUCUCUCAAAUAGGCACGGUCCCUUCACAUCUAUGGACAAUCUCCUUACUCUGAAGUGAUGCUUACUGGUCUGAAAUACCCAGAUUUAUACAGUUUGAGUAAGUUUUCUCUCAUUCUUCAGUUUCCAAGUGAACCUUCUGAAGUGAUGUACAGUAAUUUCUCAGUAAUAAUUACAUUUGAAAUAUUAAUAGAAAGGAAGCUUUGGUUGGACAAAAAAUAAUCCAAAGCUUUGUACCAAAUACCCACUCAGGCAAGGGAACGGAGGGCACAGUUUGUCCCAGCCUAUACCUCCUUGCGGACUGGGAAUGGUGGUGGACUAGGCUGCCCACAUCCUCCCAGCUGCAGCCCCCCACCACAACCCUGCUGUAGGCUCCCAUCUGUCAAGUGCAAAAUUGUGGAUUUACAGUUGCUUUGUGGCGUCCCCUAGAAAAGUGUGGGUGCAGGGCUGCGGGACCAUGGAGGGAUGGCAAGGGCGAGAGGUCUUCGUAUCAGAGCAUGAAAUGAUAGCCAUCCUGUGGGGUCACCAUCCCACUUACAACUGCUAACUAAUUAACAAAUGUUUGCUCUGGUAGUUGAAAGGAUUUAGUGCUUGGUCUUGAAAGCUAUGCGGUAUGUGACUAUGUGGAAUUGAACAUUGAUAAAAGCAACCCUGAAAUCUCUACAGCCUAGUUAUUAGAGGAUUGUGAAGAGGUCUACAGAAUUAUCCUCAAUGACCUGGAGGGUGUCUUAGAAAUCACCUUGAACAUGAAAGAGAAGAUGUGCCUUCCCUGCAUGUGCCUCGGAACCUCAGGGGCAGCUGCCCAGCAAGCAUAUCUGGUCACUGUUGAUUUCUACUGCUUUGUGUGCACAAGGCAGAGACUUUCACACCACCACCACGCUCCCGACUGAAGCUCAAACCAUUCUGCUCAGCUUCAGGGUCCUCCCCUCCACCUCUUCCUAACCUGGCCAAGCCCUUACUCCAGGACAAUGCUGGCAGCAGGAUUACUGCUUUCCCUGCCCACGUGUCUGUGGGACCUUUACUUCCCCCAGCACAACUUAACCUCACCAUGAAGCUUAUACGGCAUGCAGCUGGGUAAAAAUAGCAUGCCAGAAAGUAAACACAGCAAUUCCUCAGCCUUCCUCUGCUGAAGCCUCUUUCGGUUCCUCAUUUUGCUCUUAUGUUAUCAUAUUUUCCAUGUUAUAACAACAGCCCGUCACAUGUCCCUAUUUUUUUGUUUUGUUUUGGUAUGGAAAGGUUUGAGGAAAGGUUUGAGGAGUUUUGAGUGACAAAUUGUCAUUAUUUUUCAAUAUUGUACUUUUAUUCAUUAAGAACAAAAUGAUUCUGUAAUGACUUCAAACCAAACUUUGAUUAAAAAGUUAUAAAAAAGGU
ensembl:lncRNA